GAUACUGGCGGACGGGUGAGUAACACGUGGGUAACCUGCCUGUAAGACUGGGAUAACUCCGGGAAACCGGGGCUAAUACCGGAUGCUUGUUUGAACCGCAUGGUUCAAACAUAAAAGGUGGCUUCGGCUACCACUUACAGAUGGACCCGCGGCGCAUUAGCUAGUUGGUGAGGUAAUGGCUCACCAAGGCAACGAUGCGUAGCCGACCUGAGAGGGUGAUCGGCCACACUGGGACUGAGACACGGCCCAGACUCCUACGGGAGGCAGCAGUAGGGAAUCUUCCGCAAUGGACGAAAGUCUGACGGAGCAACGCCGCGUGAGUGAUGAAGGUUUUCGGAUCGUAAAGCUCUGUUGUUAGGGAAGAACAAGUACCGUUCGAACAGGGCGUACCUUGAGGUACCUGACGAGAAAAGCCACGGCUAACUACGUGCCAGCAGCCGCGGUAAUACG
rnacentral:rRNA from 1 species